rnacentral:rRNA from 1 species
GAUGAACGCUGGCGGCGUGCUUAACACAUGCAAGUCGAACGAUGAAGCCCAGCUUGCUGGGUGGAUUAGUGGCGAACGGGUGAGUAACACGUGAGUAACCUGCCCUUAACUCUGGGAUAAGCCUGGGAAACUGGGUCUAAUACCGGAUAGGAGCGUCCACCGCAUGGUGGGUGUUGGAAAGAUUUAUCGGUUCUGGAGGGACUCGCGGCCUAUCAGCUUGUUGGUGAGGUAAUGGCUCACCAAGGCGACGACGGGGAGCCGGCCUGAGAGGGUGACCGGCCACACUGGGACUGAGACACGGCCCAGACUCCUACGGGAGGCAGCAGUGGGGAAUAUUGCACAAUGGGCGAAAGCCUGAUGCAGCGACGCCGCGUGAGGGAUGACGGCCUUCGGGUUGUAAACCUCUUUCAGUAGGGAAGAAGCGAAAGUGACGGUACCUGCAGAAGAAGCACCGGCUAACUACGUGCCAGCCGCCGCCGUAA